GCGUAGCGCAGUUGGUAGCGCGCAGCGUUCGGGACGCUGAGGUCGUGGGUUCGAGCCCCGUCGCCUCGACCA
rnacentral:tRNA from 1 species